rnacentral:rRNA from 1 species
CCUACGGGAGGCAGCAGUGGGGGAUAUUGCACAAUGGGGGGAACCCUGAUGCAGCGACGCCGCGUGGGUGAAGAAGCGCCUAGGCGCGUAAAGCCCUGUCAGCAGGGAAGAAAAUGACGGUACCUGAAGAAGAAGCCCCGGCUAACUACGUGCCAGCAGCCGCGGUAAUACGUAGGGGGCAAGCGUUAUCCGGAUUUACUGGGUGUAAAGGGGGCGCAGACGGCGAGGCAAGCCAGGAGGAAAAGCCCGGGGCCCAACCCCGUGACUGCGCUUGGAACUGCGUGGUUGGGUGGACGGAGGGGAAGCGGAAUUCCUGGUGUAGCGGUGAAAUGCGUAGAUAUCAGGAGGAACACCGGUGGCGAAGGCGGCCUGCUGGACUGCAACUGACGUUGAGGCCCGAAAGCGUGGGGAGCAAACAGGAUUAGAUACCCUUGUAGUC